rnacentral:rRNA from 1 species
UCAGGACGAACGCUGGCGGCGUGCUAACACAUGCAAGUCGAGCGAUGAAGCUCCUCGGGAGUGGAUUAGCGGCGGACGGGUGAGUAACACGUGGGCAACCUGCCUUGUAGAGAGGAAUAGCCAUUCGAAAGGAUGAUUAAUACCUCAUAAUAUUGUAGCUUCGCAUGAAGCAACAACCAAAGGAGCAAUCCACUACAAGAUGGGCCCCGCGGCGCAUUAGCUAGUUGGUGGGGUAACGGCUCACCAAGGCGACGAUGCGUAGCCGACCUGAGAGGGUGAUCGGCCACAUUGGGACUGAGACACGGCCCAGACUCCUACGGGAGGCAGCAGUGGGGAAUAUUGCACAAUGGGGGAAACCCUGAUGCAGCCAACGCCGCGUGAGUGAUGACGGUCUUCGGAUUGUAAAGCUCUGUCUUCAGGGACGAUAAUGACGGUACCUGAGGAGGAAGCCACGGCUAACUACGUGCCAGCCGCCGC